rnacentral:rRNA from 1 species
GAUGAACGCUAGCUACAGGCUUAACACAUGCAAGUCGAGGGGCAGCAUGAACUUAGCUUGCUAAGUUUGAUGGCGACCGGCGCACGGGUGAGUAACACGUAUCCAACCUGCCGAUGACUCGGGGAUAGCCUUUCGAAAGAAAGAUUAAUACCCGAUGGCAUAAUUCUUCCGCAUGGUAGAACUAUUAAAGAAUUUCGGUCAUCGAUGGGGAUGCGUUCCAUUAGGUUGUUGGCGGGGUAACGGCCCACCAAGCCUUCGAUGGAUAGGGGUUCUGAGAGGAAGGUCCCCCCACAUUGGAACUGAGACACGGUCCAAACUCCUACGGGAGGCAGCAGUGAGGAAUAUUGGUCAAUGGGCAGAGCCUGAACCAGCCAAGUAGCGUGCAGGAUGACGGCCCUAUGGGUUGUAAACUGCUUUUAUAAGGGAUAAAGUGGGAGUCGUGACUCUUUUUGCAUGUACCUUAUGAAUAAGGACCGGCUAAAUUCCGUGCCAGCAG